AGCUCCUCUGUGCUCUCGCGAUAUCGCAGUCUCCUGCAUUCCCAGACAGGACUGUGGCCAUGACAAUGCCGUGAGAUGGCUGGGAAGAGCCUUGCUGCUCCCUUCUCUGCUCUUAGCUCGCUGGUCUCGGGAGGGACAUUUGGGGAAACAUUCGUAGCAGCUACCGAAGCCAUUUAUUUCGAGAGUCCUCCUUGUUUCUCUCCUGCUCGGCAUUGACUGCCAGCUGACGUUUUUCCUUGGAAGAACGCAAAGAUUCUUUUGGAAGCUCCAAGACCGAUAAAGCACUGCAGGGCUGCCCUGGUGGUCCAGUGGUGAAGAAUCUGCCUUGCAAUGCAGAGGACACCAGUUCCACCCUGGUCCUGGAAGACUCACGUGCCAUGGGGCAGCUAAGGCCAUGCCCACAACUGCUGAGACUGUGCAGUAGUAGAGCCUGGGAGCCACAACCACCGAAGCCCACAUGCCUUAAAAUCCGUCACAACAGGAGAAGCCACCACAGUGAGAAGCCCACACCCCACAGCUGGAGAGGAGCCCUCGCUCUCCACAACUAGAGAAAGCCCACACGCACUGCAACAAAGACCCAGCAGAGCCAACAAAUAAAUAAUGAGAAAGAAAGACAAUGCGAUGUAAUUACUAUUACACUUUCACUUUGCAAGAAUAAAUUGUCUUCAGGGAUCUCCUCAUUUACCUGUUUUCGUACUUGUGUGUGGAAGUUCACUCAAAGGUCUACCGCUGUCCUCAUGUACCAGUUUGGGGUGUAAGCAAGCCGUAAAUUGAAGCUGUCUACUCCUGUGAGAAAGGUUGACACCACCAUUACUCUUUUCAUUUUAGAGGAGAUGAUUGUCGUAAACAAGGUCGUCACUUUUUUAAAAAAUCCAUACAGCUUAUGAGUUAUUUUGAUGUAACCAUUUGAAUUUUCUGCCCUAGAAAAAAUAUUUUGAUGCUAGGUAUCAAUAUAUGGAAGGAAAAUAUUCACCAUGCUGUUCAUUUUUGUUUUAUGUAUCCCUCAGCACGAAAGAAGACUUUUAUGAUGUUUUUCCAUUAAUGUGUUUGUUUAAGGAAAGCUGGAGUUCAGCAAGCAUUUUUCUUGUCUCUUUGAUUCAUAGACUCUCUAAGGCCCUUGCUUCUUAAUGCAGGGCAUAUUGAUAUACCGAUUUAAUAUAGUAACAGCAUUAUUGAGAUAUACCUCUCCGACGCCAUCAGGAACAGUGAAUCAGAUAAAACAUUUGCAAUAUUAAAAUCAAUUAAAAUUUUAAAAAACUGUUAAAUUGCAUUCAGGAUGGAAUCAAUUUAUGGAGCUUAUGGUUUCUGAGCAAUUAAGGGAGAAAAUUAGACUGGGAUUUCUUGUUUCUCGUGCUCUUUUAGCCAAACUUGUUGUUUCCAUAAGUUAAGUAUUACCAAUGCCUUCUAUUGAAGGCUUCUGUAAACUUUUCUAUUAAAAAUGAUGGCUUAAACUU